rnacentral:rRNA from 1 species
GUACACGAUGCGGAUGCCUAUUACUUUGUGAUACACUUUCGAAGAGUCGAGUUGUUUGGGAAUGCAGCUCAAAUUGGGUGGUAAAUUCCAUCUAAAGCUAAAUAUUGGCGAGAGACCGAUAGCGAACAAGUACCGUGAGGGAAAGAUGAAAAGCACUUUGGAAAGAGAGUUAACAGUACGUGAAAUUGUUGGAAGGGAAACACAUGCAGUGAUACUUGCUAUUCGGGGCAACUCGAUUGGCAGGCCCGCAUCAGUUUUUCGGGGCGGAAAAGCAUAGAGAGAAGGUAGCAGUUUCGGCUGUGUUAUAGCUCUUUAUUGGAUUCGCCCUGGGGGACUGAGGAACGCAGCGUGCUUUUUGCAUGAGCUUCGGCUUAUCCACGCUUAGGAUGCGGGUUUAUGGCUGUAUAUGACCCGUCUU